ACUAGAUCUUCUAAGUGGCAAGCAUAUAGCCCCAAGCCAUGUGAGUUCAUAAUUCAUUGAAAAGUCCUCUGAUAUUCAAAUGUUCGGGUCAUCUUAUGCUUGCACCCGUUGAAUUCGCAAGAAGAUUUGAAAGUUUAUGAUACUUUCAUACCCGACAAGUUGAACUAUUCUUCUCCACUUGCGUUAUUAAUUUUCUCUCUUGUAUAUGUUGUAGUGGCAAGCUUUAGCUUAUGCAGCAAAAGCUAGGAUAUGUUUUGCUGCAACUGACAGUUCUAGAAACAUACAUUUUGAAAGAUGUGAUUGGGAACGAAAUGCCAGAAAUAGAUCUUCUUUUGGAAGAAGCUGCUGAAUUUGUGGAUGAAUCUCAGUGUAAGAACCCAACUUACCAUAGGUAAUUGUUAACCCUGGACAUACGAGCACUGUACCACCUAUGUAUCUAUUAAUAUUAUUAACGAGGCAAAAUAAAGAAUAAAUUUUGUAGGCUCGAUACGUUUGGUUACAUAAAGAAUAUUACUUUCGUUGUCAUUAAUUAAGAUACAGAAUAACAUAUCAAGGAAUGCUAAGACUUCAUUAAAGAAGGUAAGUUUUCUUCAUGCAUUCAGUUUUUCUUUCAUUUCUAAUAUUCAUGACGUGUAGUGUAUUAUGUAUGUUUGUCUUGUUUUUAUCUAUAAUUGCAAUUGUCUAGGCCCCUGAAAUGCUCCAAUUCAUUGCUUUAUCAAAAAGGAUAGUACUACGUGUACGUCGACUUAUCGCUCUUACUUUGAACUAAUCGGUAAACAUAGUUGCAUUUAUGAUAUUUUAGGUUUCUGACAUAUUUGCUAGAAAUCUCAUUUUCAUGAAGUCAAAUUCAUAGAUAUGCUGUCUACGUUUGCAAGAAUUUUACAGAUCUUUUAUUCUUUUUUAACUGAUGUUUAAUUUUACCUUUUUCUCUAGGUUGCUUAUUUCCCUAUUAUAAUAAAUCUCCAGUUGAAGAUUUGUUUGGCUCUUUUUCCUGUUUUUAAUUUCUAAAUAUCGAAGGAGCAUCUACAACAUCUGUGACCUUCUAUUCAAGUUUGGAGAACAAGAAGUAGUUGAGCAGUUUAAACAGUAUGGUGAGUUAAAGCAAUUUGAUGUUUUAUUUACUUUCCCUGUGGAUAUGGCAGAACAAGAAAACAAAUAAGUUUUAAAUUUGAUUAUGAAAUGAAUGAAAAAUUCAUUAUAAUUUCCUUUCCAAUCCUUGUUUCAUUCAGGUGCUUAAAGUUUGAUGUAACUACUUAACAUAAAUAAUUUUUUUAUGUUUAUGUUAUUACGUAGCCAACUACAUUAUAGCACAUGCUUUGCACGUGCGUCUCACUAGUAUAGAUAAAAUUAUUACCAAUAAGAUCUUGAGUUAGG
rnacentral:lncRNA from 1 species